UACGGAGGGGGCGAGCGUUAUUCGGAAUUAUUGGGCGUAAAGGGCGCGUAGGCGGCUUGGCAAGUCAAAGGUGAAAUCCCUCGGCUCAACUGAGGAACUGCCUUUGAAACUGCCUGGCUUGAGGCCGGGAGGGGGUAGCGGAAUUCCCGGUGUAGCGGUGAAAUGCGCAGAUAUCGGGGAGGAACACCGGUGGCGAAAAGCGACUUCCUGGACCAGUACCGACGUCAGGCACGAAAGCGUGGGGAGCAAACAGG
rnacentral:rRNA from 1 species